rnacentral:tRNA from 1 species
CUGAGGAACAAGAGGAUUGCAAAUUCUCUUUAUAUAGUCUUGAUUUAAGUUCUUUAGG